CACCAUCACCAUUAUCACCAUCAUCAUUAUCACCAUCAUCAUCAUUAUCACCAUAACCAUUAUCAUCAUCACCAUUACCAUUUUCAUCAUCACCAUUAUCAUCACCAUCAUCAUUAUCAAUAUCAUGGUCACAUCACCAUCAUCAUUAUCAUUAUCACCAUCAUCAUUAUCACCAUCACCAUCAUCAUUAUCAUCAUCACCAUCAUCAUUAUCAUUAUCACCAUCAUCACGAUCACCAUUAUCAUCUUCGCCAUUAUCAUUUUCAUCAUCACCAUUACCAUCAUCAUUAUCAUCAUCAUCACUAUCACUAUCAUCAUUAUCAGCACCAUCACCAUCAUCAUUAUCAUCGUCACCAUCACCAUAAUCAUUAUCAUUAUCAUCAUCAAGAACACCAUCAUCACCAUCAUCAUUAUCAUCAUCACCAUCAUCACCAUCAUUACCAUCACCAUUACCAUCAUCAUAAUCACCAUCAUCAUUAUCAUCAUCACCAUCAUCACCAUCAUUACCAUCACCAUUACCAUCAUCAUAAUCACCACCAUCAUUAUCACCAUCACCAUCACCGUCAUCAUUAUCAUCAUUAUCAUCAUCAUUAUCACCAUCAUCACCAUCACCAUUAUCAUCAUUAUUUUCAUUAUCACCAUCGUCAUCAUCAUUAUCACCAUCAUUACCAUCACCAUUAUCAUAAUCACCAUCACCAUUAUCAUUAUAAUUUUCAUCAUCACCAUCAUCAUCACCACCAUCAUCACUACCAUCAACAUCUUCACCAUCUUCUUCAUCAUCAUCAUCACCAUCACCAUUAUCAUCAUCAUUAUAAUUACCACCAUCGUCAUCAUCAUUAUCACCAUCAUCACGAUCACCAUUAUCAUCAUCGCCAUUAUCAUUUUCAUCAUCAUUAUUAUCAUCACCAUCACCAUCAUCAUUAUCAUUAUCAACACCAUCACCGUCGUCAUUAUCAUCGUCACCAUCACCAUAAUCAUUAUCAUUAUCAUCAUCAAGAACACCAUCAUCACCAUCAUCAUUAUCAUCAUCACCAUCAUCACCAUCAUUACCAUUACCAUUACCAUCAUCAUUAUCAUCAUCACCAUCACCGUCAUCAUUAUCAUCAUUACCAUCAUCAUAAUCACCAUCAUCAUAAUCAUCAUCACCAUCAUCAUCAUCAUCAUCAUCACCAUCACCAUUAUCAUCAUUAUUUUCAUUAUCACCAUUGUCAUCAUCAUUAUCACCAUCAUUACCAUCACCAUUAUCAUAAUCACCAUCACCAUAAUCAUUAUAAUUUUCAUCAUCACCAUCAUCAUCAUCAUCAUCACUACCAUCAACAUCUUCACCAUCUUCUUCAUCAUCAUCAUCAUCAUCAUCAUCAUCAUCAUCACCAUCAUCGUCACAUCACCAUCACUACCAUCAACAUCUUCACAUCUUCAUCAUCAUUAUCAUCAUCAUCAUCAUCAUCAUCAUCACCAUCAUCACCAUCACCAUCAUUAUCACCAUCAUUACCAUCACCAUUAUCAUCAUCACCAUUAUCAUUAUAAUUUUCAUCAUCACCAUCACCAUCAUCAUCAUCAUCAUCAUCACCAUCAUCAUCACUACCAUCAACAUCUUCACCAUCUUCAUCAUCAUCAUCAUCAUCUUCAUCAUCAUUAA
rnacentral:lncRNA from 1 species